UGGGGAAUAUUGGACAAUGGGGGCAACCCUGAUCCAGCGAUGCCGCGUGGGUGAAGAAGGCCUUCGGGUUGUAAAGCCCUUUAGGUUGGGACGAAGUGAUACUAGUGAAUAGCUAGUAUUGUUGACGGUACCGACAGAAUAAGCACCGGCAAACUCUGUGCCAGCAGCCGCGGUAAUACAGAGGGUGCGAGCGUUAAUCGGAGUUACUGGGCGUAAAGGGCGCGUAGGCGGUGAGAUGAGUGUGAUGUGAAAGCCCCGGGCUUAACCUGGGAAGUGCAUCGCAAACGAUCUGACUGGAGUAUAUGAGAGGGUGGCGGAAUUUCCGGUGUAGCGGUGAAAUGCGUAGAGAUCGGAAGGAACGUCAAUGGCGAAGGCAGCCACCUGGCAUAAUACUGACGCUGAGGCGCGAAAGCGUGGGGAGCGAACAGG
rnacentral:rRNA from 1 species